UUCCUUCUAUAAGACUCCCACCUAUUAGGGGUACUUUAUUUUGCAAGGUUAUUAGGACUUAGGAGUGCUUUUAUCUUACUUUUUUUAAUUGUUGUUUCGUUCUAUUAGAUUUAUAGCUAAUCAAAUGCAAAUAUCAUACCGAUGCUCUAUACAAUGACGAGUGAUCAGGGAAUCUUUGCAGGCGUGCAUUCUCUCUAGUUGUCUCUUGAUCAGAUCUUGAUGCAGUACACGUUGAUUGGUUAUACGACUUACUUUUGUCAGCACUGUGGACAUUGUUUCAUCCCAUCAUGCGAUUCAUUUGGUUUGCUUUUAUUUUUCCUAUUCAAAUAAAUGGCACAUUUUUGGGCCGCUUAUGGUGUGAUGAAGCUAUCUUCACAGUGGUGAUAAUUGAUAGAGCCAUAUAACCAAGCUAAUAUUGUAUCCAGAUAUUAAGAUCGAGUGCUUUCAACUAGAGAGAAUGCUCGGUCGCAACGCAACGGUUCCCGCCGAUUACUUUACAGCAAGAAUCCAAGUAUUCCUUGGGCAGGCAAUAUAUUAUAAGUAUCUAUAAGGUUUUCCUUGUUUCUUCAUAUGAUCUUUAUUAAUCAGAUUUUAAUUUGCAGUGCUUUAGGGAAUUGAUCGGGUAGUGUGAUCUCUUCUUGAAAAGACUUGGUUUUAGUGGCCUUGCUUGAUUUUCUUAUCUCGGGUGGAUGAUGGACAUGCAUUUUUAUUUUAAAUUCCUCUUCUGGUGUAUCUUGGGGAUUGAAACUCCCUUUUUCACUUUUCACUUGUAAUGAUUCUUUUGAACCAGCACAACUCUUUGGUAAAAAGUUGGCCACUUUUUAGUAGGAAGUUAUAAUUUGAGGGAUGUAAUAUACAGUAUGAAUUAUUAAUGGAAUGCCUGCAUUUUGGUUUUA